rnacentral:rRNA from 1 species
UACAGAGGGUGCAAGCGUUGUUCGGAAUUACUGGGCGUAAAGCGCGUGUAGGCGGUUUGGUAAGUUCUGUGUGAAAGCCCUGGACUCAACCCAGGAAGUGCGCAGAAUACUGCUUGACUGGAGUGACGGAGAGGAUGGCGGAAUUCCGCGUGUAGCAGUGAAAUGCGUAGAUAUGCGGAGGAACACCGAUGGCGAAGGCAAUCCCCUGGGCCUGCACUGACGCUCAUGCACGAAAGCGUGGGGAGCAAACAGG